GGGCGUUGCAUGGACUGUGAUCUGCAUGACUUGCAGUUGGAAGUGAGGAUCUAGGCAGUGAGCAGCAGCGCUCUGAUAACUUGCCAGAUCUAACUCUUCCAGCUCAAGGUCUUGUUGAUUAUCAUCUCCCAAACGA